UGUCAUCAUUACCCCCAGGGUUGAAAAAUUGAUUCGGUUCUGUGACUCCGAAUCUAAAGACUAUGGCGUGCGGCAUCGAAGAAUUUAUUCCGUGCAUUUUAGGUCGUCUUGUUUCAAACACCUAUUAAAUCUAUCUAAAGGAUGAUGAUCGAGUUGCACUUUUUGUUGCCAACGAACGGAAAACAGCGACCAGCUGCUGCAUUUGCUCCACCACCCGUUUUUUCUAAGAGAUCAGAGAUGUGUAUUUUCGCUCUGCAGUUUGUUGCUUUUAGCUAAAUAGUUGAAGAAAUUUUUCUCCUCAAAAUAUUUGAUUAUUUCUGCUGCCUCUGCACUCCUUGCUGUCGUUCGAUUCCGUUCACGUAGCUUCGACGUGCUGCCUCGUUGAUCGUCAACUCGUUGGUAGCGAGCCGCGUGGCUUGUUUCGAUAUUCCACCUGUUGCUAUGGGCCUUGGUUGCGUUUAGAUGACCUCGCAUCUGCGUGGUGACUUCAGGUAUGGUUAAGAUGAUCGGUUGUGGUAUAACGUAUAUAU